GGUCCUUGGCCCUCAGACCCGCCCCUUUCCCCCUUAUCAAACCCUGUGUCCUCAGCCCCAUUUUGUCUCUGUCCCUGCACCUUCUACAUUGCAAUAAACUGCGUUUGGAGCUGUGCGCACAGACCCGUCUCUGGCCUUGUCCAUCAGCAGGUUAAGCAAGCGUGCUCCGGGCUCUGGGAGUGCAGGAUUUCUCAUUCCCAAACCUUGGCCGGAUGGAGGAGGAGGCUGUGAGGAAGAGGAAGAAGCCCUGGGACAUGCAGGCAGACAAGGAGCUGAGGAUGGAGAGCAGGGAGGACAAAUGCCCACAGAAGAACCCCGUGGAAAAGGCUGUUCUGAGCAGCUCGAUGGCCCAGGAAUCCAACAGAGAGGGAAAGCUCCAGAGAUCCCACAGGAGGAGGGGCUCCAAACCCAGCCCAGGGUGCUCUGAGGAGGAAAGACCCACCCUGAACCAGGAAGGUGGACAGAGCUUCAGCCAGAGCUCAGAGCUGGUGAUCCAUGAGCAGCCUCAUGAUGGAGAGAAGCCCUACAAGUGCUUGGAGUGUGGGAAGAGCUUCAGGCAGAGCAGCACUCUGAUCCACCACCAGAUGAUCCACACCGGGGAAUGGGCCUACGAGUGUGGGGAGUGUGGGAAGGGCUUGAGGUGCAGCUCAGAACUCGUCACCCACCAAUGAAUCCACACUGGGGAGAGGCCCUACGAGUGUGCCCAGUGUUGGAAGAGGUUUCACACCAGCUCCAGUCUCCUCAUACAUGAGUGGAUUCACACAGAGGAGAGGCCCUUCUGCUGCCCCGACUGCGGGAAGGGCUUCAAGUACAUCUCCCAUCUCGUCAGGCACCAGCGCAUCCACAGUGGGGAGAGGCCCUACGAGUGCCCCCAGUGUGGGAAGAGCUUCACCCAGAGCUCUGACUUGAACAGACACCUACGGAAGCACCGGUAAGGCAAGCCCUGCAAAUGUCCCUGAGGGGAGAGCUUCGUGCCUGGCUCCAGCUUCAUACCCAAUUGGAGGACCCACGUUGGGAAGAGACCUGUGAUCUAUGUUCACUGUAAUCCAUGCUGGGAAGACACCUGUCCCUUCUCCUGCCCCUGCCAAUUACCUGAUGCAGGAUUGAAGAACAUGAGGAUCUGGCUAGAGCCAUGUCAUUAUAUCCACUCCCUCCUCAGGUCAUUGCCAGAGGCAGGAAAGGGUCUCUCUCUCCGCGAGGAGAAGGGUGUCCUUCCCAGGCCGGAGGAAAUAUGUGGCCAGGAUGAUCCAGUGAGUUGUGUUUUGGUUUUCCCUGUAAAUAGUUUUUCUUUUCCCUUCUGUUACCAGUAUUGUUUCUGUUCUUGUUUGUUCUUUAUUUUGUUGCUGUUCCCAGUAAAUUGUUCUUAUCCCUGCCUAGGAUCCUCUAUUUUUGUGCUUUCCAUGGGAGGUGGGAGGG